UCGAACGCGAAAGGGGAGCAAUCCCUGAGUAGAGUGGCAAACGGGUGAGUAACACGUGGGUGACUGCCUUCGAGCGGGGGAUAACGUCCCGAAAGGGACGCUAAUACCGCAUAACAUCCUGGUCUUGGACGACCGGUGAUCAAAGCUGGGGAUUCGCAAGAACCUGGCACUUGAAGAGGGGCCCGCGCCUGAUUAGCUAGUUGGUGAGGUAACGGCUCACCAAGGCAACGAUCAGUAUCCGGCCUGAGAGGGCGGACGGACACACUGGGACUGAGACACGGCCCAGACUCCUACGGGAGGCAGCAGUGGGGAAUUGUUCGCAAUGGGCGCAAGCCUGACGACGCAACGCCGCGUGGAGGAUGAAGACCUUCGGGUCGUAAACUCCUGUCGAGUGGAAAGAAUAGCUUCCGGGCGAAUAUCCCGGGAGCCUGACGGUACCACUAAAGGAAGCCCCGGCUAACUCCGUGCCAGCAGCCGCGGUAAUACGGGGGGGCCAAGCGUUGUUCGGAAUUACUGGGCGUAAAGGGCUCGUAGGCGGCCAACUAAGUCAGACGUGAAAUCCCCAGGCUCAACCUGGGAACUGCGUCUGAUACUGGAUGGCUUGAAUUCGGGAGAGGGAUGCAGAAUUCCAGGUGUAGCGGUGAAAUGCGUAGAUAUCUGGAGGAAUACCGGUGCCGAAGGCGCAUCCUGGACCGACAUUGACGCUGAGGACGAA
rnacentral:rRNA from 1 species